rnacentral:sRNA from 1 species
GAGUAAUUGGGGUUACAGGCGCACGCCACCACGCCCGGCUAAUUUUUGUGUUUUUAGUAGAGAUAGGGUUUCACCAUGUUGGUCAAGCUGGUCUCGAACUCCUGACCUCGUGAUUUGCCCACCUUGACCUCUCAAAAUGCUGGGAUUACAGGCGUGAGCCACUGCCCUCGGCCAGUAAAUUUUUUAAAUGCUGUCAUUUUAAUGGUUUCUUUUAUUGAUUAUAAAUUUAAUUGCUUUUAAUGUUUGAAGUUGACUUCUUGAAUAUUGUAUUUAUCUUAAUUUCAUUAGGUUUCUGAUCAGAAACCCUUGGGGAGCUGGUCAGUGAAACAAGGUCAAAUUAUAACAUGUCCAGCUGUGUGCAACUUUCAAACUGGAGAGUAUGUUGUUGUACACGAUAAUAAGGUUUUAAGAAUAUGGAAUAAUGAAGAUGUAAACCUGGAUAAAGUAUUUAAAGCUACAUUGUCAGCAGAAGUAUAUAGGAUACUUUCAGUGCAAGGGACAGAACCCUUGGUGCUCUUCAAGGAAGGUGCUGUUCGUGGUUUAGAGGCCUUG